AUUGAACGCUGGCGGCAGGCUUAACACAUGCAAGUCGAACGAGCGGCGGACGGGUGAGUAAUGUCUGGGAAACUGCCUGAUGGAGGGGGAUAACUACUGGAAACGGUAGCUAAUACCGCAUACCAUCGGAUGUGCCCAGAUGGGAUUAGCUAGUAGGUGGGGUAAUGGCUCACCUAGUCGACGAUCCCUAGCUGGUCUGAGAGGAUGACCAGCCACACUGGAACUGAGACACGGUCCAGACUCCGACGGGAGGCAGGAGUGGGGAAUAUUGCACAGUGGGCGCAAGCCUGAUAAAGCCAUGCCGCGUGUGUGAAGAAGGCCUUCGGGUUGUAAAGAACUUUCAGCGAGGAGGCGUUACUCGCAGAAGAAGCACCGGCUAACUCCGUGCCAGCGGCCGCGGUAAUUC
rnacentral:rRNA from 1 species